rnacentral:lncRNA from 1 species
UCCUGCUCGCCUUCAGCUCGUUUAAUUUUCAUAAACAUCUUGAAGGGGGAGCAUAGGUCGAAGUGCGUGUUGGUCGUGCAACGUGCUGGUUCGUGCGGCGCGUUGUCCGUGGUGUGACACGGCGCCUCCGGCGUGAGGGAACCUCCUGCUCGCCUUCGGCUUGUUUAAUUUUCAUAAAUAUCUUGAAGGGGGGGCAUAGGUCGAAGUGCGUGUUGGUCGUGCAGCGUGCUGGUUCGUGCGGCGCGUUGUCCGUCGUGGUGUGACACGGCGCCUCCGGCGCGAGGGAACCUCCUGCUCGCCUUCGGCUCGUUUAAUUUUCAUAAACAUCUUGAAGGGGGGGCAUAGGUCGAAGUGUGUGUUGGUCGUGCAGCGUGCUGGUUCGUGCGGCGCGUUGUCCGUCGUGGUGUGACACGGCGCCGCCGGCGCGAGGGAACCUCCUGCUCGCCUUCGGCUCGUUUAAUUUUUUUUACAGCAGGUCGUGCAAAAGGCAAGCUGCUUUGUUUCGAAAGGCACGGGUUUGAAGCAUGUGCAGUCACGUCUGCUUAAGCUAGGCAUGGUUGAGGAUCUAUAGGUUUGUGCGUGCAUGCACAUGUGUGCAUCCUACGAAGGCAUUGAUAUGUUGCCUCCGGAGGCACGGGUUUGAAGCAUGUGCAGUCACGUGUGCGUAGGAGCUAGCCACGAUUGAGGCGCUCUUGGUAUGUGUGUGUGUGUGUGUGGAUAUUGCUCGGAGGCAUGGUGACCCAGGCUUUGAUGGCACAGGGCCAUGUCGCCUCUGGAGGCACGGAGGGUGGUCUCCAGAGUCACGCGUAAGGGUUCAUUUUAGGAGUCACUGCUGUCGUACAAAUAAGAAGAGGCAUUGUUGUUUAUAGUUUACUGGCACUCUCUGAUGAUGUAAGAGGUACUGUUGUCGAAAUAGUUCUUUUUUCAACAUGAACACGUAAUUUGUAACUACAUUAUAUACAAAUAUGAGUUACUGAUAAACUGUUUUGUCACGUCUUGAUAGAAUUAGC